AACGAACGCUGGCGGCAUGCCUAACACAUGCAAGUCGAACGAGAACUGCGGGAAUAUUGGCUCUCGCGUGCGUAGCGGGGGGGAGGUGGGCCUUGGGUACGGAACAACCCCUUGAAAGGGGUGCUAAUGUCGGAAAAUGUUUUCGAACCAGCGAUUUAUCGCCUUUGGAGGGGCCCGCGAUGUAUUAGCUGGUCGGUAGGGUAAAAGGCUACCAAGGCGACGAUCCUUAGCUGGUCUGAGAGGAUGACCCGCCACACUGGGACGGAGACACGGCGCAGACUCCUAGGGGAGGCAGGAGUGCGGAAUAUUGGACAAUGGGCGAGAGACUGAUCCAGUAAGGUUGCGUAAGUCAUUAAGUCGGGAGGGAAGUACAGCUCGUUAAUACUGGAUGAUAAUGACGGUACCGGAAGAAUAAGCUCCGGCUAACUACGUG
rnacentral:rRNA from 1 species